AACUUUUAUUAUCGUCGGCAACGCCCCCUCAACAUGGCAUGAAUUUAACGUUUUCGUUUCACGUUUUCAACCGGUAGGUAUCUAUAUUUUUAUAAAUGUUCGUUGGGGUCCUAAUUAAAGUCAUUUCUACAGAAUGGAUUCCAAAAUCGACCCAAUUUUGUCGUGAUUAUAAGUGCAAACCGAUUUUGAUCUGUAAAUAUUAUGGAUUGUAAUUAAGCAUAUAUUUAAUGUUCUAUAGAUGUCAUAUUUAAUUUUUUUAUUUUAUUAAAACCAUUUUUGAGAUAAAUUCGAUGCUUAUUUUUUAUUGUAAAACUUUAUUAUGUAAUUUUAAUUUUUAUGACCAAAUGUAGGUUUUAAACAAAUGUUCUAUUAAAGGAUUGCCGAAUGCGAAGAGUUUCAUAUAUUGACUCUCUACUAAGCGGUGUUGUGCGAGUGUGACAGCAUUGUAGUAUCGCGCCUGUAAGAAGAACAUAUAUACAGGGUUGCUAAAAAAUAAGUGCAUUCCCGUUGCCAGGGAGGUUUUGGGAUUAUACUUAGCAAUUGUUACUAUGGGACCAACCACGUAAUCGCGAAAAAAAAUGACCCAUAGAAAAUGGACCAGCCAAAUUUUUUCGCUAUUUCGGGGUUAGUCCCAUAGUAAAAGUUGCGCAGUAUAAUCCCAAAACCUCCCUGGCAACAAGAAUGCACUUAUUUUUUAGCCACUUUAUCUUAUGGUCAAUGAAUGAAAUUCUUCAUCGCUUGGCGACUGUACCUUAGCUUUAGGGGUUAUUCUGACAAAGUAAAACUGAUUAACAACUACAAUUUAAAUGAAAACCUUAUUACAGUGAACAUAUGGUCCAUAAUGACUUGGCGUUGUUACGUCAUUUUACUUUGAAUAGUAAUCGGCUGAUUUAAGUUUAUCACGAAUAAAACAUUUGAUUGAUUAAUUGAUUUGAUAAUAUCUUCAUAACUACGUGAUUUUAAAUAAAAUAUUAAAAAUAUAUGUUUUUUGUCCCUUGUACAGUCGCCAUCAGAUAUAUCGGAGGCGUUCACAAAUAUCUGAACACGUCUCUAUUGUCAGGGCGUUAGAGUGCGUGUUCAGAUAUUGUGAACAACUUGGCCGCUCCCAUAUAUCUGAUGGCGACUGUACAGACGAGGUAGACCUAAUCUUAACGCUCAAGACACAGAUAUAAUAGAUACUUCGCGUCCGAACCCCGACCAAGCGUCGGGGUUGGCCGUCGCUACUGACAGUCGUUGGCCGACGUAGCCAUCAUGUGUGGGUGUCACUAGAUCUAGACGUGUUUGUAUUUAAAGUAUUUAAACCAGCCGAAACCCCAAAGCGUAUCGGAAAAGAAUGGCGUUCGAGGUCGAAUGACAAAUGUAACAUAUUAUUUACAUGUAAAAGAAAUGUUUUACUAAACGUAGUCCUUAAACCCGUAUCUUUAUAUAGUCGUUCGACCCCAUACUGGUCCCUAAAUACACGGCAACGUCGCGUGCAAGUAUGUUGAAAUAAUUAUUGCGAAAUACAACUGUGUGAAUCAAUCAUUCAUCACAGCAUAUAAGUUUAGGUGGUGAUGAGUCCGACCAAGAUAAGUUGCUUAAAAACAGUACUGAGCGGUCGGCAAAAGGUCGCCAAUCUGCUGUCGCGGGGCGUGGCCGUUCUGUAAGAUAAUACUAUUAUUUAUUCCGUUCGAAAAAUGGGCUCCAGCGGUGGCAGCAUGGUUCCAUUUCCAACUGUUACUAUGCCCGUCACUUACGCAGUUGUUAGAACGUGACAGGCAU